rnacentral:rRNA from 1 species
GAUGAACGCUGGCGGCGUGCCUAAUACAUGCAAGUCGAGCGAAGCGGGGACGGGUGAGUAACACGUAGAUAACCUCCUAUAAGACUGGGAUAACGUCAGGGAACCGGAGCUAAACCGGAUACUUAGUGAGAGUUGCGCGCUGCCUUAGCGAGUUGGUAAGGGAACGGCUUACCAAGGCAACGAUGCGUAGCCGAGCUGAGAGUGUGAGCGGCCACACUGGAACUGAGACACGGUCCAGACUCCUACGGGAGGCAGCAGUAGGGAAUCUUCCGCAAGGGGCGAAAGCCUGACGGAGCAAUGCCGCGUGAGUGAUGAAGGUCUUCGGAUCGUAAAACUCUGUUAUUAGGGAAGCGGUACCUAAUCAGUAAGCCACGGCUAACUACGUGCCAGCAGCCGCGGUAAUUC